rnacentral:rRNA from 1 species
UAGCGGCGGACGGGUGAGUAACGCGUAGGAAUCUACCUAGUAGAAGGGGAUAGCCCGAGGAAACUCGGAUUAAUACCGUAUUCCUCCUUUGGGAGAAAGAGGGCCUCUCUUGAUGCUCUCGCUAUUAGAUGAGCCUGCGUAAGAUUAGCUUGUUGGUGAGGUAAUGGCUCACCAAGGCUUCGAUCUUUAGCUGGUCUGAGAGGACGAUCAGCCACAUUGGGACUGAGACACGGCCCAGACUCCUACGGGAGGCAGCAGUGGGGAAUAUUGGACAAUGGGCGCAAGCCUGAUCCAGCCAUACCGCGUGUGUGAAGAAGGCCCUAGGGUUGUAAAGCACUUUAAGCAGGGAGAAAAAGCUAUAAGUUAAUACCUUAUAGCCCUGAUGUUACCUGCAGAAUAAGCACCGGCUAAUUCCGUGCCAGCAGCCGCGGUAAUACGGAAGGUGCAAGCGUUAAUCGGAAUUACUGGGCGUAAAGCGCGCGUAGGUGGUUUGUUAAGUUGGAUGUGAAAGCCCUGGGCUCAACCUAGGAACUGCAUCCAAAACUAACUCACUUGAGUACGAUAGAGGGAGGUAGAAUUCAUAGUGUAGCGGUGGAAUGCGUAGAUAUUAUGAAGAAUACCAGUGGCGAAGGCGGCCUCCUGGAUCUGUACUGACACUGAGGUGCGAAAGCGUGGGUAGCGAACAGGAUUAGAUACCCUGGUAGUCCACGCCGUAAACGAUGACAACUAGCUGUUGGGAGACAAAGUCUUUCAGUGGCGCAGCUAACGUUUAAGUGUCCGCCUGGG